rnacentral:piRNA from 1 species
UGGCUUGGUAUGUCUUUUGCACCUACU